GGAGCAAUCUCAUCUCUCUGUUCUUGUUUCAAGCAAGCUGGCAAAUGCUGUUUGAAAUAGCACAGUAUUUCCAACAUAUGUAGUUGUGAUCAGGCAUGUCAUGGUUGACAAGCUCUUGUAGUCCUCCAGUCACAUCAAUAAUGGUGACCGCCACCUCUCUUUUCCACUCUGGGCCUUCAAAAGCUGUCAUUGAUGGGUUAUCCAGCUUGACAGAUGCAGAACUGAACUGGGCAGUUAUGGUUGCACGCAAAAGGCUGGAUACCAAAGUGACAAGGGAUACAAACUGUCACAGAGUUCUAUUUCUUGUGCACAAUGAAUAAAUAUAUAUAUAUACUGAACUUUCCAUUAAUUGUAAAGCUGAGGAGGCUGAAGAGACAGCUAUAUGCAGCAGACAGCAGGAACAGCAGGACGGAAUUUCCAGCAGAAACAGAACAGAAAGAAAGAAAGAUCCAACAGUGCUGUGGGGAAAUGCUGAGUUCAAGAAACUGCUGCAGACA